CCGUCACUAAAUCAGAAACUACAUCGUAGUGUCUAAUGGGUCUAACACAUUUGACUUUGUUUCUAAAAUCUUCUUCGCCUUUUUCGCGAACUACAUAGUAGUUUUAGGGAUUUUAGGGAUUAGAGAUUUUAGGAAUUUAGGUAUUGUGGAUUAUGGAUUUAAAAAAAUGCAUGACUUUUUGGAUUAACAACUACUUUUGGUUUGGGCAUUUUAACAAGCACAUGGAAGGCGUACCACAAUCAUUUUUGGGUUUAUGCUUGCAUGCAACGUAGUUUAUGUUUUGUGUUUUGGCCUCACUAGUCCUAAUGUUUUUCAUUUUUCAUACUCCAUUAUGAUUGGUUUAAUUCGUGUUGCUUUUAGGAUAGUGCAUUGAAGUUUCUGCCUUCAUUUUUUGAUUUGAUUGAUUGUUUAAUUGCUUCAAAUUGUGUGUCAAUAUCAAACAUUGCAUAGUAGUUCAAUUGUGGUUUCAUAUGCAUUGUUUGUUUGCACUGUUUUGUAUAUUUUAUUGGUUUUCAAUUGCUCAUUUGAUUGUCUUCCUUUAUAAUUUUGGUUUCGAAUAUCUUUUUUUACUUGUUUUGUAUUUUGGGUUUAUGCUUGCAUGCAAUGUCCUUUUUAUUUUGAGUUUUGGUGUUUGGUUUAUGCAAUGUAGUUUGUGUUUUGGGUUUUGGGGUUUAUAAGCAUGCAAUGUUUUGGGUUUUGAAUUGCUUUUGUUACUUGUUCUAGCUAGCAUGAUGCUUACUAGGUGCUACAUUAUAGUUUCUGUUCUACACAGACUGCAAUGCAGAGAAAACCAAACUGCAAUGCAGAGAACACCAAAUUGCAUUGCAAUUUGUUUUCUGCAUUCUAGUUUAUGUUUUCUGCAUUGCAUUUUAUACUUUUGCACUGUAGUUUAUGUUUACUUGUCCUAAUAGUGUUUUCAUUCUUGUUUCAAAUCACAAAUGGCACUAGAACAGUCACCACAAAAGAAGGAAGCUCAAAAUCAACCAAAGCCAAUAAAUAAAUUAAUAGCUCGAAAGACAAAAUCAAAGCCAAGUUAUGAUAGAAAAGCGAAGCACCCAGACUAAGUCCAGUUUCGGUGCAACGUCAAUGCAUUGAACAACAUCAUUAUAGACGUUAAAUACAAGCUAAAUGGCAGAAAAAAGGAACUCCUCCAGAAAUCACCUUUCUAGAAAUUGAUUGAGCUGUUUUAGAACGGAAGAGCUGACAUGAAGCACAUGAUUAAGUCGGACCUCGACUUAGAAAACUGCUCAAGCAGUUUGAUCCUACUACAAAGUCUUUCAAAUUUGGCACCAAAUCAUUCGAGAUCACAGCAGAUGCAGUGACUGAAAUUUUAGGAUUGCCAAAUGAAGGAAAAUCUGUCAAACUUGACAAUGAAAGAUACAAAUCAACCUUCAGAAUAAUGUACUUUGGAAAGGCAAAACCAUUAAAAGGACUCGUAGAAGAAGAAAUACACAAAGCAAUUGCCCUGACAAAGAAACCGCUGAACAAAAGCCUAAGACAAAAACAAAGAAGACCGCCAAGAAAAGGAAAGGAAAAAAACAAACUGGAAAAGAAGAAAAUGAGGAAGAGGAAGAGGAGGUUGUUGAUUACGACAAGAAUGUGGUCAGCCUAAUCUUGAUUCAGCUUUGUAUAACAUUGCUCUUCGCCAACUCUUCCUACACUUUGCACUGGACAAUUGUUGAGCACUGUGAGAAGUUAGACACACUAUCAAGCUACUCGUGGGCAAGAGCUGUAUCAAGCUACAUUAAUACCUCAUUGGUCACAAAACAAAAAGCAAAGAAGAAAUGAGAAGACUCUAUAGGGGCUGUUUGAGGUUUCACUCUCCUAAUAUUAUUUCUGCUGUGUGAGAGGACCAAUAUAAUACAACCAAUCAUUGGCAAGGAGAAGGAAACUCCUGCAAUUGUUAAACGGAGUCUUGUUGAACUCCACACAAGAUUCAAUCAAAUCAAGGACUUAAAUGACAUAGAGGGUAUUUUCAAAACCUGUAAAAAAAAACAUAAACUAUCAGAGAAGAGGAAGAGGAACAAAUAUUUCUUCAUGAAGACCCUGUUGACAACAAGAAAAAAUAAAAUGAAAAUGAUGAAGACAAAGAAGAAGGAGAAGAAGUAGCAGGACAAGUACAACAUAAUAUGAUGAUGAUGAAAGUCCAGAAUUAAAAGAGAUGCGAAAAAAGAAAAGGUUUGAGAUUGCGGAAGGAAAAGAACCUGUUGGAAUUUAUGACUGCUUGGUUAAGUCUAUGACAACCCAAAUCAACCACCGCCAACGACAAGAUCCUAGCUGGGUUUGCCCAAAAAGCAUACAACUGUGGAAGGAUGAAAUUAAUCAAGAUAGUGAGAAGAAAAUGAUGGAAUUUUGGGAUAUAUCUAUCCAAGUAGAAAAGGGAUUAACCCAGCUAGCACAAGAACUUGAAGAGCAAAAAGAAGCAUUAAGAGAUGAAGAAGAUGUCAAUGUUACUUUGACAGUGGAAAGGAAAGACUUGCUCAACAAGAACAAAAAAUGAAAAAAAAGAUAGCACAGUUGGAAGGGAAAGAACCUGAACUUGAGGCACCAACUCAAAAUGCAUAACUUUCUGCAAGAAUCUUGGCAGAAUUGGAAAGCUUGAGAGCAGAACCCACUAUAUUUGAAAUUGAGCCUGACGUGCCUAAACCACAACCAGUUGAUGAUCAGAAUGUGGACCAAACCACUCAUUCAUGUCAACCUCCAUCUACAAUGCAGUUUGUGAAUAUUAUUAGUUCUCAACAGCAACAAGCACCACAAGAAGAGAAGAGAAGAAGAAACAAGAAGAAGAGAAAGAAGAAGAGAAGAAGAAGCAAGAACAAGAGAAAGAAAAAGAGCAUAAACAAGAAAAGAAGCAAGAUGCUCAAACUCUUGAUGUUCCCACAAGAAUAAAACAUGUGAAGAACAGAGAAAGAAAGAGGCAUCAAGCAUCAUGCUAUCAGUAUGAAAAAGAUAAGCAACCAAAGAAGAAGGCAAAAACGGGUGAUGAAGAAUUACAACAGUUCAAGCUUAUCUAUUCCAGGGAGCCGUCAACACAAGAGGAACCUCAAAAUCGGAUGAAGUCAACACAAGAGGAACCUCAGCCUGAUGCCACAUAUCCAAUUCCUCAUUCCCCACAAGGAACAAGCAUUAAUGAUAAAAUAAUUCUAGGUCAAGAAAAAUAAGAUGAUGAGGCUAAACCACCCAAAAAGAAACCAAAAAAAAAAAAAAAAAUUUAAAAACAUUAGGAUGGGGAAAGAGAAAGGUGUGGCAAAAAAUAACCAAAGAGGACCGGGAAAGAAUUGAAGUAUACUAUUGAAGUACUGAAACAAGGAAGGACACCAUGAUGAAAAAAUUUCCAACCGUGAUAUCAAAGAUAUUAUAUGGGACUUUGAACUAUCACAACGUAUUUAAGUUUAUAUACAAAUAGAGGAGGGGAAAAUAGAUCCCAUGUAGAUAGACAUUCCAUAGUACAUGUCUACAUGGACUUGGUCAUACAUGUAAAACUUCAUGGAGCCAUCUUGGCAUAGAGCCAUGUAUGAACCUUUGUUGGAAAGCUUGGAAAAUGAAAUGUGCUAUUUUUCCCAAUCAUUUCAAGCACCGAGUUCCACUACACCCUCCUGGCGUUUCACAAAUUAGAACAAAAGUGGAGACACUACAAUCCAUUAAGGUCACUAGGAGCAAGAAAAGAAGAAAGAUGUGUUGACAUUGCUCAUGAUAUUCUAAGUGGAAUGAACCUAUCCUAAUUUCACAGCACAAACACAACCUGCAAUGCAGUUAAUGUUGUUGAAGGGUGGCUGCAAUACAUGAGACCUAGAGCACAAGCUUUCUUACAAAGUGGGACAAUACUAACACUUGCGAAGCAAAAGGACGAGCCCCCUACACCUAUACCAGAAUCCACAAAUGAAGAACGGACUCUCAAUUGGAUUCUGUAACGUCCAUGUCAGUUUACAUUUGAGGAGGACACAGACUGUGCUCAACAAAGUUCAUCUUCAUAAGAAUUGUUUCUACUUAACUAUUCAAUAGAAUUUGAAAUCAUUCCAAACCAAAAACUAAUCGCAUACUCGUUUGUAGGUUGGAUUGUGACAUGUUUGUCAUGUUCUACAUGGAUCAAAUAACACAGGGACAACCCAUUCCAAAAAA